GUGACUGUUGAGAGGAAUGCCAGACCCACGGAGAUUUCACCUGCGGAGAACAGAGCAGACCUGACUGACUCACCUGCUGAGAGGACGGGAAGAGGAAGGGAAUCAUUUGCUCAGUCAGUCUUUCAAUCAGUCAGUUAGUAGAGUAGGAAACUCAGUGAGUCGAUUGUACAUCAGUGAUUCAGUGAAUCAGAUCCUGUAUGUGCUGUAGGUCAGAUAUUUGGCAGGUCAUUUGAAUCAGGUGAUUCAAACAGAGAUUGAACGAACCAGGUGACCAGGUGAUUCAGAUAGAGACAAGGUGACCAGGUGAUUCAGAUAGAGACAAGGUGAGCAGUUGACCCAGUCGACCCAGGUGACCUGGUGAUUCAGAUAGAGACAAGGUGAGCAGUUGACCCAGUCGAACCAGGUGACCAGGUGAUUCAGAUAGAGACAAGGUGGCCAGGUGAUUCAGAUAGAGACAAGGUGAGCAGUAGACCCAGUCGAAGCAGGCACCAGUUGACCCAGUCGAAGCAGGCACCAGUUGAUCCAGUAUAAAUAUGCCCAGUUUGUCCAGUGUGGUCCAGUUCUCUCUGCUGCUGGUUCUCCUUCUGGCUGUUAUGGGUCAGGACUGUGCUACUUCCAGGGUCCAGAGGGAGGCCCGGUCCAGGACCCGGUCCAGGGCCCAGUCCAGGGUGUGUGUGAACGACAGGGUCUCUCAAUGUGUGGACCUGGCCAAACUGCAGGAGCUGAUCCAGGAAGUCCAGAAAGACUCCACAAACACGUCUCACGAUGACAGAAUCCUGUUAAAGACAGUCACCUUUGACAAGAUCAAGAAGCACAAGAAGUACCACGGCUGUGUCCUGCUCAAAAUCGUGGACUUUUAUCGGGAAGUUCUCCAGAGACAAGACAGAAAGUAUCCUGACCUCGUGGGCCUGCUGGAUGAAGUGAGGGAAUGUGUUCACCCAGUAAAGAUCUGUGAAAAGCUAGACCAGGAAGCUGCUGGGGAGCCAGUGAAUGAGUCUAAGAUAGAGGAAGAUAUGGAGCUGCUGUCGAAGGAUGCAGCCAUUCUGCAGCUGCAGAGACUGAAGGCAGCCAGUGAAAAGGUGUGGUUCCACGUUACCUCUUCAUCACCAGUGGUCACACAUCAAUAACACUCCAGAUGGGUUACAGAGAACAUCACUGUGUGUUACAGAUACACUGUGCAAAAAGCACGUGUCAUGGACUGGCCUUAAUAGCUUGUUUCUAGGUUCCUCAAUCAAUCCAUUUUUAUUUUAGAAUGCCCUUUUGUUUUUUUUACAUCAGAAGUACUGUUGUCACAGAGGUCUCUAUAGUUACCCAGCCUAAACCCAAAGGUCUCUAUAGUUACCCAGCCUAAACCUAAAGGUCUCUAUAGUUACCCAGCCUAAACCUAAAGGUCUCUAUAGUUACCCAGCCUAAACCCAAAGGUCUCUAUAGUUACCCAGCCUAAACCUAAAGGUCUCUAUAGUUACCCAGCCUAAACCUAAAGGUCUCUAUAGUUACCCAGCCUAAACCUAAAGGUCUCUAUAGUUACCCAGCCUAAACCUAAAGGUCUCUAUAGUUACCCAGCCUAAACCCAAAGGUCUCUAUAGUUACCCAGCCUAAACCUAAAGGUCUCUAUAGUUACCCAGCCUAAACCUAAAGGUCUCUAUAGUUACCCAGCCUAAACCUAAAGGUCUCUAUAGUUACCCAGCCUAAACCUAAAGGUCUCUAUAGUUACCCAGCCUAAACCUAAAGGUCUCUAUAGUUACCCAGCCUAAACCUAAAGGUCUCUAUAGUUACCCAGCCUAAACCUAAAGGUCUCUAUAGUUACCCAGCCUAAACCUAAAGGUCUCUAUAGUUACCCAGCCUAAACCCAAAGGUCUCUAUAGUUACCCAGCCUAAACCCAAAGGUCUCUAUAGUUACCCAGCCUAAACCUAAAGGUCUCUAUAGUUACCCAGCCUAAACCUAAAGGUCUCUAUAGUUACCCAGCCUAAACCCAAAGGUCUCUAUAGUUACCCAGCCUAAACCCAAAGGUCUCUAUAGUUACCCAGCCUAAACCCAAAGGUCUCUAUAG